UGGACUGCAGACCUGUCUUGGGAGUAUCUCCCCUCUGACCCAUUGACCCUGACACCCUGCAAGGAUAAAGCAGUCAUUACUGUUGCAUUACUGUUGCAUGGUUGCUAACACAGAUACUUAGUGCUGCAGACUAGGAAACACCUCAAGAGAGCUGCAGUUUUGGAGAUGCUCUGACCAAGUUGUCUAGCCAUCACAAUUCUUGUGACUACAUGGAAAGCUGACCUGCCAUAAAUUCACUCUGUGGGGAUCAUGACAGGGCUGGAGCCAAUCUUCAUGAAAGAAAAAAAAUGGCAUGAGGUUCCCAUCCCCCCUCUCCCUGAGUCCUUUUUCCAGCCCCAGCUCACCCUUUACCCUCACUACUGGAGCACCUUCGCUCCCUAUCUUCCUGCCUAUCUCUCUGUCUAUGCACCUACAAGGCUUUCUCUCUCUCCCUCUCUCUGUCUCUCUCUCUCUUUCUCCCCCUUUUCUCUCCAUGGGUAAGCAGGUAAUCAUGAGCUGUCACAGAAAGGUGACCCAUUAAUGUGAUGGAUACGGUGUGAAAAACAAAUGGUGUGAAACGUGUGGAUUGCUGUCCUUACUGCACCUUGGCCUUUUGUUCUGUCAUAUCAAUAUCCACACAGGGCCUCAUUACACCGCUGCACUACACAAUGAGUGGAGCGCCAGGGUCAAGACUGUGCCACGCUCCCUUUGACUGGCUCCAACUGGGCUUUUCAGCUCAACCUCACCCAGAGGACUCCCAGGUUCUGCUGGUGGGCCUGUAUCCAAUCUUGGGCUGGAGCAUUUUUAAGCAGUUGCAGGACAAGCAUUCUUCAACUGAUGCUCCACGUUGAGUGGUCAUAUGGAUCACAACCCUGGAUUCACUUCCUUCACCUUCGGACAGAAACCCAGGACCUCAUCUACCGGCUGCCUCUGCAAGCUCCAAACUAAUCCUCCAGCCUGCUCGCUCUCCAACUUUCACUAGGAGUACACCUUCUGACUCUCCGGACUGCUGGCCGACAGGUUGUGCCCAAGACCCCCCCCCCCGAGAUCAACUAUCAGGAGAUCGCAAGCCUGAGAACCAAGACUCUACGACCAGAGACAGUAUUCUUUGAGAGAAUUAAAGAGACAGUAUUCUU